rnacentral:rRNA from 1 species
UACGGGGGGAGCAAGCGUUGUUCGGAUUUACUGGGCGUAAAGGGCGCGUAGGCGGCCACCGCAAGUCAAUUGUGAAAUCUCCGGGCUUAACUCGGAAAGGUCAACUGAUACUGCGGGGCUAGAGUGCGGAAGGGGCAACUGGAAUUCUCGGUGUAGAGGUGAAAUUCGUAGAUAUCGGGAGGAACACCAGUGGCGAAGGCGACUCUUUGGUCUGUAACUGACGCUGAGGCGCGAAAGCGUGGGGAGCAAACAGG